rnacentral:rRNA from 1 species
AACGAACGCUGGCGGCAUGCCUAACACAUGCAAGUCGAACGAGACCUUCGGGUCUAGUGGCGCCCGGGUGCGUAACGCGUGGGAACCUGCCCUUAGGUUCGGGAUAACUCCCCGAAAGGGGUGCUAAUACCGGAUAAUGUCUUCGGACCAAAGAUUUAUCGCCUUUGGAUGGGCCCGCGUUGGAUUAGCUAGUUGGUAGGGUAAAAGCCUACCAAGGCGACGAUCCAUAGCUGGUCUGAGAGGAUGAUCAGCCACACUGGGACUGAGACACGGCCCAGACUCCUACGGGAGGCAGCAGUGGGGAAUAUUGGACAAUGGGCGAAAGCCUGAUCCAGCAAUGCCGCGUGAGUGAUGAAGGCCUUAGGGUUGUAAAGCUCUUUUACCCGGGAUGAUAAUGACAGUACCGGGAGAAUAAGCUCCGGCUAACUCCGUG